CUAGGGAUGACAAGCUAAUGAAUGCUUAGAGUGCCAUUCACAAAUUAUUCUGGGGCAUUUCAGUGAACACUAGAACAUAGAAUCUUGCCCAUCCCUGUAUUCAAUAAUGUCCAAGCAAAUUUUAGAUCAUGUAACUUUAUUUGUUAAAAACAACUUUGUUACACACCCCAUAAUACAUGUACAUUUAUUCUUAUUGAUUAUUUUGGAUUUUAGGUUACCAUUGUCAACAAUGCAAUUGCAACUGAACUUGUCAAAGGCAUAGAAAAAAUGUACUCUGUGAUGUAUACCAGCAGGACAAAUGAACCAGUAGAUGCAAGGUGUCCAUUCCUCUGGUCAUGGAAUCCCACCCUUCCCUAGCAGAACUCGAGUGACAGAAGCAGGAGACAACUGCAGUGCGAGCUCUCCCUGGCGCUG